rnacentral:rRNA from 1 species
AGCGUAUAUUAAAGUUGUUGCAGUUAAAAAGCUCGUAGUUGAAUUUCGGGAUCAAUACGUCGGUCGUGCUUCGGUACGUACUGGCGUAAUUGAUUUCUCCCUUCUGACGAACCAUGAUGUCAUUAACUUGGUGUCAUGGGAAAUCAGGACUGUUACUUUGAAAAAAUUAGAGUGUUUAAAGCAGGCUCACGCUUGAAUACAUUAGCAUGGAAUAAUGAAAUAGGACGUUCGAUCCUAUUUUGUUGGUUUUUAGGAUCAACGUAAUGAUUAAUAGGGAUAGUUGGGGGCAUUAGUAUUCAAUUGUCAGAGGUGAAAUUCUUGGAUUUAUUGAAGACUAACUACUGCGAAAGCAUUUGCCAAGGAUGUUUUCAUUAAUCAGGAACGAAAGUUAGGGGAUCGAAGACGAUCAGAUACCGUCGUAGUCUUAACCAUAAACUAUGCCGACUAGGGAUCGGAUGAUGUUAAUUUUUUAAUGACUC